rnacentral:rRNA from 1 species
AGGCAACUUGCGGUUAUAUGGUCAAGCGAAUAAGCGCACACGGUGGAUGCCUUGGCGGUCAGAGGCGAUGAAGGACGUGGCAGCCUGCGAAAAGUAUCGGGGAGCUGGCAACAAGCUUUGAUCCGGUAAUGUCCGAAUGGGGAAACCCACCCGCUUGCGGGUAUCCUGCAGUGAAUACAUAGCUGCUGGAAGCGAACCUGGUGAACUGAAAUAUCUAAGUAACCAGAGGAAAAGAAAUCAACCGAGAUUCCGUAAGUAGCGACGAGCGAACGCGGACUAGCCCUUAAGCUGAUUUGGUUCUAGGAAAACACUCUGGAAAGAGUGGCCAUAGAAGGUGAUAGCCCUGUAUCUGAAAGGGCCAUUUCAGUGAAGACGAGUAGGGCGGGGCACGUGAAACCCUGUCUGAACAUGGGGGGACCAUCCUCCAAGGCUAAAUACUACUGACCGACCGAUAGUGAACCAGUACCGUGAGGGAAAGGCGAAAAGAACCCCGGAGAGGGGAGUGAAAUAGAACCUGAAACCGUGUGCGUACAAGCAGUAGGAGCUCCGCAAGGAGUGACUGCGUACCUUUUGUAUAAUGGGUCAGCGACUUACUGUUCGUGGCAAGCUUAACCGUAUAGGGGAGGCGAAGGGAAACCGAGUCUGAUAAGGGCGCAUAGUCGCGGGCAGUAGACCCGAAACCGGGUGAUCUAGUCAUGCCCAGGGUGAAGGUGCGGUAACACGCACUGGAGGCCCGAACC